AUGAAGACGAUGACGAUGGUGGAAGAGGAAUGAGGGGGAUUGGGAUUAAAAUUCUUGAAGGUACAACCGUUUUAGGGCUUUCAAGAACUAGCAGGCUUAUGAAGUUGGGGGAUACUGAUGAUGUUGGAGUAGAAUCUGAUAGACCUACUCCUAAAACCCUUGCCUUGCUCAAUAAGCAUGACAGUUCAUCAUCACAAGCCUUGUCCUCUGCUGUUGUUCCUGGUCUGUGGGAUGACUUGCAUUGUCAACAUGUCGCUGUGCCUUUUGCUGCCUGGCAAUGGCAUCAGGAGCUAACAGAUCUCGUAUUCAAGAAUUAGAUCAAGAUGGGCAUGCUGUCAUGACUGGUUUAAUGGCGCUUGAGAGAUCUGUGAAGUGGCAUGGGAGUUUGGUAGCUAGGUUGCUGUUGGAAGCUCGUGAUCUGCCCUUAAAUGAUUCUGUUUCUGAUUGGAGCUCCAGUCUUCUUUCAACUGUUUAUCAGGCGAGUAAAAAUUAUGAUAUUCCUUUGGCUUGGGUGGCUUUAUCUGCUUUUUUAGUUUCUAUAGAGAGAAGCCCUAGGGCACAAGAGGUAGUAAUGGACAAAGGUCUUCAGCUAAUAAGAGAUGCUGCUAAGCGGACAACAAAGCAUAUAGAGGUGCAAGAAACAUUGGCGAAGGUAUUAGAUAUGAUUUCUACUGGGGACAUGCGAUUAUCACUCGAAGAAAGUCAGAAAUGGUCUGGCAUAUUGCUUCCUUGGGUCUUUGGAAAAUCAUCCUCUGACAAUGCCCGGUAUUCAGCCAUAAAAAUCCUUUCAUGCAAUCUUGAAGACCAUGGACCUUCUUCAAUACCAAUUUCUAAGGGAUGGUUGGCUGUUACGCUAAAUGAAAUUUUGGGUUCCAGCAAGACUGCUUCUGCCAAACGUAGCCCACAGCCUAAAAAUGAUAAAGUGAAGGUAUAGUGAUUCUUUUCCCUCACUGACUGUGUUUACAUUAAAAUGAUUCUGCAUGUUGAAACAUUAAUCUGGUUCUCAACUUUGAGCAAAAUCCGUAUUGCUUCUAUGACUAGAAUGCGGCUUCUUUACUCUUGUUUUCCUCUCUAAUGAUUAAAACCGUUUCUUAAAUUUUGCAGACUCAGAUUGAUCAGUCGAACAUCCUUUUUGCUGCACAGACUGCUAAUCAAUUAGCAGGUGCUGUUGUUAAUCUGGCUGGAAAGCAAUUGGUUACGACCACUGAUGAAACCUUCCCACUGUUGGAUCUUCUUUUUCUGGAACCGACCAUUAAAGAAUCUCAAGAAAGAUACUGCAUCUAAAUUUGAUGCUACUGAUUCUGCACCGGAUCAUAUUCUAAUUAAACACAACUUGUCUUCCAUCGGAACAAUAUAAAUCAUCUGAAAAUUGCCUUCUAUUUAUUUUUUUUUUGGGGGGUUUUAUUAUAAGGUGGCAUCAGAUCUGUUUAUCAAUGGUAAACAAUGGACACAUUAUUUAGUUAUAGAAAAUUACUUGAAGCUCUCUCUUCCCAUUGCUUACAAUUCGUUGCCGGCGCCUUCAACUUACACCGACUAAUUCUGCUUAUUCAAUGCUUGAUUUGCUUUCUUUAUGAUUCUAUAAUCAAAAUUGAGAUCAUGUCAUUAAGUAGGUUAGAGUGUCCCAGAUAAGUUUGUUGCGAUAUUUAAAUAAUUGGAGCCAUUGUACAAGAGGAUUGGUCAGCUUCCUAAAUUAUACCAUUUUAGUUUUGCAAAUUAACUUUAUUUAAUUCUCAUUAUCUCUAGCUAAUCAAGUUUAUUUUUUGCUGUUGUACGGUAACGUCAAUCGAACAAGAUACCCCGAGUACAUAAUAUAUUUUUUUGACCUUAACUGCCAAUUGAAAUUAAAGAUUCUUGAUAAUUAUUCUGAUAAUAAUUGUGAAAUCAUAGGUCUCUUCCUCACAACAGUUUGUUGUAGAAUCCCAAACAUAAGUACUUGUAAUUCUUGAUCAGCUUUAGCUUUGAUUGUUUUGUUAGUUACUUCUGUAGAAACCCGAACAUAAGUAUUCUUUCCAAGUGGAUGGGUAGGAAAGUUAGCCUCUUGUUUAUUAAAUUAGAUUCCUCUCCAUAUUAAGCUUAUUAACCAUUGAAGGAUCUCUUAAAAUGUAUUAAGUAUCGGAUAAGUAAAGGACAUAUUGAUUGUCACUUUUUUUUUUUUUUGAAUAUUACAUGAGAUGGCAUAACAAUAAUACCAAUAAAUAUAGUCUAAUGCAUGUAUUGAUGUAUUAAAAUUAAAAUUCAAGCUAAAAAUGUGAAAAAAAUUAAUAAAUAUGUUUCCACACAUACGAGGAAAUUUGAACCCUUAUCUCAAGGAUGAGAGAAAGAGGUGUCCAUUAACUCAGCUAAACAUUUGAUGAUAAAAUUUAUAUUCACUAGCAUAAAACCUUAUGUGGAAUUAAUUCUAAAUAGAAGAAAAAAAGUAUGUAUAAUUUAAUUCUUGUCACCUACAUAUGUAUUGAAAGGUAAAUGUGACGAGAAUCUAAAUUGUUAGAGAAACCACUUGACCCAAAUGCGCAAGCGGAUAUGUAAAAUUGAAAGGAAAAUGCUAUUUACCCCGGGUCAAAUCCCGGGUCAAACCCCGAACUAAACGCACCGUUUUAUUAAGCCAAAAACGCACCGUUUUCCUUCUGCCAAAAACGCAUCGUUUGCAAAGUUUUUCUCCUUCCCAUCAUCGAUGGAAAUCUCCAGCCAAACUUUUCCCCACAAAUCAGCCGUUAUCGAUCAAGAUCUCCAGCCACAAUUGUUUUGAAAUUGCCCACAAAUCAGCCAUCAUGCGUACCCUCAGCCGCCGUCACUGCCACUACAGCCAUUACGUGACAGUCACAACCACUCACAAAGCGGCGGCCACUUCUGCAACUGAGAUAAUGCUUCAAUCUUUGGCUGGUUUAGGUUUUGUCUUUUUUAUUCAUUCAUUAGCCUUUUUGUUCGUGUCUAUCCUUCUCAACUGGGUUGUUGGUUUUGCAUGCCUUCUUUGAUUAUUUGGUUAGGGAUUUUUUUUAAUUUUUAUUGUUUUUGUUUAUUGAAUUAAAGCGUCAAGUUUCUGUCUUGGGCUUAUUCAUGUUUUCUUUGCUUCUAAAAUCUCAGUUAUUCUCAGUAAGAGCAAAACAUGGUUGAUUUCAGUGGCUGCAUUUUUCUUUAUGGCUAAUCUCCACGAUCUUGGUCCGAUCAAUCUUCCUAAGAAGUAAGACCACAUCUAGUCUUCCACCAAGCCCAAUGGCAUUACCGAUCAUCGGACACCUCCACCUUCUUGCCCCAAUAUCUCACCAAGGACUUCACAAACUUUCCAUCCGUUAUGGACCCUUAAUUCAUUUGUUCCUUGACUCAGUCCCAUGUUUUCUUUGCUUCUAUCCUAUGGGAUGAAGUUAAAACCAACAAUUGGUCCUCAAAACGGCAUCGUUGCGUGAAGAAAGUAGCUCAUCUAUCUUAAUAAAAUUUGAUCCUUAAAACGGCGUCGUUUUCUCAAGUUCGGGGUUUGACCCGGGGUAAAUAGCAGAACUCAAAUUGAAAUAAGAGUAUUUAAGACAAGCAUUAUUAGCUACUUGGUCAAAGGAUAAUCAAACUUCAGAUUUACUCUUACCAUGUUAGAGAAGGAUUUGGAUUAUGUGCUAAAUGAAAUUUGCUCGACUUUUUAUAAGUUUCUGCCAUGAAUGGAUAAUUAAGAUUUAAUUAGUUUUGUAUUCUUAUCCAAUAAUUACUAAUUUUAUUUUCCUAAAAUGUUAGUAAGCAAGUCAGCCCAAUACUGAAAUUGGCACAAAACUAUAACGAUACACUUAUAAAAACUAGUAUACCAUCACCAUAAUCUUUUUUUAUUACUAUUAAAUGGGACUCAUCAGAAUGAGCUAGACAGGAACAAGACGAGGUUGAGUGACCCCAAACAUGUCUUACGAAAUAAUAGAAUAAAUACUCACAGGUGGGCUAGAGAAUAAAUGCAAACAAAAAAGAACUGAGUGAGCCAUAUUAGCCAUGAAGUCUGCAGCUGAUUUCGCUUCACGAUAGAUGUGAGUGAUAGAAAUCUGCCAGUUUCUGCUUAAUAAAUCUAGAAUAGCAACAAUUAAAGCAUAUAAAGCAUUCGGCACAACCACCUGCUUAGAGAUCAUCAACACAGAGGUUGUCCACUUCCACCAAGAGACGUCUUAUGCCAGCGUUCCAGGCAAGGGUUAAACCUUGAUACAGACCCCAAAGCUUAGCCAUAGUCACUGAACUUUCCCCAAUUUUCAUACAAAAACCUAAGAUCCAGUGGCCAACAGAAUCCCGAAUAACACCACCAGCUCCUGCAUCCCCUGUAUUUUUACAAGAGCCAUUUGUGUUCAAUUUACACCAUGGCCAUGAAUGAGGCAACCGACCAAUAAAAAUAUCAUUUCGCCUCGGUUGCUGGCUGAUGUGAGAAUUAUUCACUCUAUGAAUUUCAUUAGCUCUGGUCAUAAUAUCCAAAUAAAUUGUUGUUUUGUCCACCAACUUCCUAGCAAAAAGAAAGUGAUUCCGCCAGAACCACAACCUCCAAACAGCCACUUUGAAAAUACAAUCCCAAGGAAGAGUGGAAACAAUCUUCCACUUAUUUUGUAAGUUAACAACAAUCCAGUCACGUAAAUUAGAGUGAAAGAAAGUGCAGUGAUUGCAAACUGGACAACCUGAAACCAAAACCUCUUAAUAUAGCGACAAUCUCUCAAAACAUAAAGAAUAUCCCCAGUUGAACCCCCACACUUAUCACAGACAUCAAGUGUUAAAAGCUCAACCAUUUCCAGCCAUCAUGCUUGUUAGUAAACUCACUCACAGUGGCAUUAACAGAAUCACGAGGGAUCGGUUGAAGGGCUAAACUGAUCAAAGGGUCAUGUUUCGUCACUUAGCAGUCCAACCAGAACCGAAUUCUAGCACUAUUACACACGGACCAGCGAGCUCCAUGCACGGUUGCUGACCACAUUUUCCUAAUGGCCAUCCAAAUUCUCGACCUUUGUCUGUCAUGAAGGGAAAACGAUAAUUUGCUAGGGUCCAAACUAUAUUUAGAACAAAGAACCCUCACCCACAAUUUAUCCGAGCUAAAAACAACUCCCUAACUAAUCUUCAUCAACAAAGCAUGGUUCAUAACAUCUAAAUUUUUAAACCCCAGGCCACCAUGGUUUUUUGGCAAACAUAUUUUAUCCCAAUCCACCAUGCUCAUUUUGUAAAUCUUCAACUUGCCAUCCCAAAUAAAUCUUCAACAAGAUUUAUCAAUUAUAUGACCCACCGAGGAAUUCGUUUGCAUAACAUAAAUGGGCAUUGCGUGAAGCACCGAUUGAGCCAAAGUGACUCAACCAGAAAAUAAUUAGUGAGCCGUAUUCUAGCCAGUUAGCCGUAUGUCCAUUUUGUUUAAAAUAGAUUGAUAAGUAGCUUUAGUCACCAGCGAAUAGAGUAAAGGCAUUCCAAGGUAGCAAUCCAAAUCACUUGUAACCGAAAAACCCAAGGCAUCACUAAUGAAUUUUGGAUCUCUAGAUAAAACAUUCUUAGAGAAAAAGACUUGAGUUUUCGAUUUAUUGACCUUUGCUUAAGAACUCUGACAAUAAUUCUCCAAAACUACAUCAAUAGUAUAAGUUAGAUCAAUCGAAGCUUCUGCAAAUAAAAGCAAAUCAUCUGCAAAAAAUAAAUGGGUUAGAGGAGUUUUAUGUUUUGCCAGCUGAAUUGGCUUCCAGUUUCCAUCCGCCACUGCUUGGGUUAUAUCAUGGCUUAAAUGCUCGAUGCAUAGAACAAAAAUAUAAGGAGAAAGUGGGUCACCCUGACGGAUACCGCUCCCGGGAAAAAAUUCCUCUGUAACCUCACCAUUCCACAAAAUGUUCAUGCUACAUGAAUUUACACAUUCCAUAAUGAGCCUAGAAAAAUGUAUUCGGAGACCAGUCUGUUGAAGAGUAUAAAAAAUAAAAUACCAGUUAAGCCGAUCAUACGCCUUCUCGAGAUCAACCUUGAUAGUCAUGAGCCAUUUCUUUCCAAUUUUCUUAUGCAUGGAGUGAACCACUUCCUGAGCAAUAACAAUAUUGUUUACAAUGUGCCGGUCGGGAACGAAGCUUAUCGGUUGAGGGCUUAUAAGGUUAGGCAGCAAGACUUGCAAGUGAUUGGCAAUUAUUUUAGUCACUGUCUUAUAAGCAACCGUGCAUAAGCUGAUAGGCCUGAACAUUUUUAAACUAGUGGGAUGCUCCGCUUUAGGAAUUAAGACCAAAAUGGUAGUGUUGACUUCUUGAAGGAUUUUGCCAAUAUUAAAAAUGUCAGCAAUAAACUUACAAAAGGAAGGUCUAACAAUUUUCCAUUAAGACUGAUAAAAAAUAGCAUGCAGACCAUCAAUACCUGGAGCCUUAAGAGGCUUCAUGCUAAAAACAGCUUUUUAAUUUCCUCCUCCAAAACCAGGUCAGCAGCACAAUCAAGAUCAUUAGCAUCCAAGACUGGAAAAUAAUUUGGUACAUGAUAAACUUGAUAAAUUUCAACUUCGCUUUUAAAUAAGGAAGAAAAAUACCCAAUUGUAUAGUUGCAUAUUUCUUCCUCAUUGUACAACCAAUUCCCCGAAUUAUCCUAGAUGGCCUCAAUUCUAUUUCGCCUCCUUCAAGUAAUAGUUUUUUUUUAUGAAAAAAAUUAGUAUUUUUAUCCCCAUGUAAGAGCCAAUCUUUUCUGGAUUUCUGUAACCAAAGAAUCUCCUCCUGAGCCAUCACCAUCUCCAACUCACUGCGUAAUCGUGCCUCUAACUGAAUUAGCCUUCUAAAGCUAUAAUUCUCUAAGGCUGCUUGAAUACCAUUAAUCCGGGCCAUUAACUUUCGUUUGUGCUAAACAAUAUUCCUUAACACAUCCCAAUUCCAACCUUGAACCGUAUGGACAAACUGAGAGGUCGUAGUAUUAUAGUGAACAUUAGGAUCCCGCGUCUACUUUACAAAUGUGUUAAAAUGCUCAUGAGUUAACCAAGAUGCCAAAAACUGGAAAGGCCUAUUAAUUUGUUUCCUGGAAUCAGCUCCCUUAAACUGAACCAGCACCGGCCUGUGAUCUGAGGCAACCUUCGGAAGAUGAAGAACAUAAUUAUCUGCGAACUUCAGUAGCCAAUCAUUAUUACAUAAGGCACUGUCAAGUCGUUUAAGAAGAGUUUCACGUGGCCAGGUAAACCGUUGACCUUUAAAUUUUAAAUAAAAAAUUUGAUGUCCAUUAAACCACUGUCGAAACAAACCACACACUCCAUGAUGCCUUGCAAUGCCCCCAUGCUUUUCAGAAGCAUACAAAAUAGAAUUAAAAUCCCCACCAAUCAACCAAGGACCUUGAAUUGAACGAGCAAGGCAAUCCAUAUGAUUCCAUAACUGUCUCCACAACAUUGGAUUUGGGCUAGCAUAAACAUAUGUUGCCCAAGACACAAAUGCAUUAUUCAUACAAAUUCUGAAAUGAAUAAUUUGCCUAUGAUUAAACAACACAUCCACCUCUAUAAAACUCCGCCAAAGGAGCCAAUUUCCUCCAGAGAAGCCUACUACUUCAACUCGAUGAGAAUUAUCAAAAUCACUUUUCUUAAUAAACUCAUAUGCUUUAAUCCCACUAACACGAGGUUCCAUCAAAACCACCAAAGAAGAGUUAUAAUUUUUAACAAUUGUCUUAAAAGAGCACCUAAAUUUAGAUGAGGCCGCCCCUUGGACAUUCCAAUACAUGAUGCUAAUCGACAUAAAAAUAAUCAAAUUAAAAGGGACAUAAACCUUAAUGUUGCUGACCAUUGACAUCACCAUAAUCUAAAUUGUUUGGCAGUGAACAUUGUUUUUCCUGUAAUUAUUAUUAUUAAAUGUUUAACAAUAAUAUUUAAGACAAGUAUCAACCCAUGUGAAGGAAACGCAUACGGGGGAUGUAAUUUUCAAAUUCAUUAAAUUAUGCGAGAGCCGGCGCUUAUAUAAAAUAACGCUACAUUCACAAACAGUUGCACAAACAUUUAUAAUAAACUAGCUGAAUAAAAGUAUUUCAGGUUCCAUGUAAUUAUUUUCGUAACUACUUUAUUCUUCGACCUGUUCAUUCAAACUAUAUGAAUAAAUGCAUGAUUGUUAAUUUAUAGGAAAGAGUUUGUAUGAUAAUUUAUGAUUAGAUUAUAUUAUUAUUUUUAAGCAACUUAUUUCUUCCCAGGACGUUUAUGAGAGGAUAACUACCGAACUGGCGGCGGCCCGAUAACUCCUAAACGCAGGCCAUGCAAUUCAUGUGAUAAAACAAUGAUUAAUAUAAGAUUAUCCGCGCGCCUAUGGCUGCUCGAAAAUCGCACUCGUAGUCAUUUUUGAAGAGAUUUAACAGUCAUGCAUGAUCACGCAAUGGCGAAGAAAAUAGAACAAAAAUAUAAGGUCAAUGAUUGACAUUACCUUGCCUCAAUUCGAUAUGCCAGGCUCAUUGCAAACGAUCAGAACUUAGAGAUUACAAAUUGAAAAAAAAAAAUGAAGAAAAAAGAAGAAAAAGGCAAGAUAAGCGAAAGGCAACUCACUUGCAUGUCAACUUAUCAACAUAUAAUUGGUCUUCUUAACUGGAUGACAUUUCUGACAGUUAGUUCGUGUCGUUGCUUUGAUUCUUUCAUAGUCAUGUUAAUGCAACUGCCUGCAGAUUAAUUGUAACUGGGAUAUUCUCAAAUUCAUCAUCCACUAGUUAUUUGGAACCCAGACCCACGGCUAAAUGAUUUAUUUUUUACCUAUUCAACAUGGUGCUUUUAACCGUCUAUUAACAUAUAUUGUACUUCUCUACAUGAAUAUUUUCAAUUGCCCUCUUGGGCAAAAAUAUGUGGUCCAACUCAAUCCAAGUCCACGCAACCGAAAGAAUUUGGAUUUAUGUGAAGCCAUCCGAGAAGCUGCGCAUACUGGGUCAAAAUGUUCGACUAAAAAAAUCUAUAAAUACCGCGCAUGCACUUCCUUAAGGAUUCGUACUACUACAACAUCAUUUCAGCAGAGACACUCAAGUUCAAGGCUCCAAAAACUUCAAUUAACUGAACAAUCUCCCUCUUUCUUAAUCCAUAUAUCCCUGGUUCCUUUUUGAAUCACCUUAGUUUUUCUAAUGGAAAUCCAAUCUCCAAGAUCACCCAUACAACCUCCAACUUUUGGUAACCUUAUCACCAUUCUUAGCAUCGAUGGAGGUGGAAUUAGAGGAAUCAUCCCUGCGACUAUCCUUGCCUUCUUAGAGUCAGAGCUUCAGGUAGUAUCAAUAGAUUUAGUAUGUAUUAUGUUGUUACAACAUAAGCAUACAUGCAUAUUAUCUAUGGUUUCAUGUAUCAUUACUUAAGAGAUAAGAGUAACGACAAACAUCUCAAAUUUUUUAUCCUAAAUGAUAUAUCAUUCAUUAACUGACUAGUAAUUCUUUACAAAAUUUAAGUGAAUUGAUUAUAUUAUCUCUACAUACUAAUUAAUGAUUGCCACAUCAUUUGAAAUAGUCUUUUGGAAUAAGAAAUUUGGGAUGUGUAGAUUUAUAGAGUAAUAAUAAUUUUUGUUUGGAAAUUUGAACAGAAACUUGACGGAGAGGAAGCAAGAAUUGCAGACUAUUUUGAUGUGAUUUCCGGAACGAGCACCGGUGGUCUUGUGACCGCUAUGCUAACGGCCCCAAAUGAGCAAAACCGCCCCCUGUUUGCUGCUAAGGAUAUCAAGGAAUUUUAUCUGAAUCACUGCCCUAAAAUCUUUCCCCAAUCUAGGUAACAAUCUUGAUAUACAUGUGUGGCAAAGAGAAGGGGGGAAAGGAAAAAGAAAAAAGAAAAAAAAAAACCUUUUUAAUUUCGAUUGAUAUAUUUUCCUUAUUGUAUGUAUUACAGUGGCCCCUUUGGUCCUGCUACAAAGCUGAUUAAGUCUCUCACUGGGCCAAAAUAUGAUGGCAAAUACCUACAUCGACUCGUGAAGGAAAAAUUAGGAAAUAAAAAGCUGCACGAGACAUUGACAAACGUUGUGAUUCCAACUUUUGACAUCAAGAAACUCCAGCCAACUAUCUUCUCCAGCUGCGAGGUCCAUACAUAAAACUUCACCAAUAUCUCUCCAAAAACAAAAAGCAUUAAAAUAAUUAAGCUCUAACUUGAUUGCGUGUAUUCCUUGUGGUUUAAUUAUUAGAUGAAGCAAAAUCCCAGCCUAGAUGCCUCACUUUCCGAUAUUUGCAUUGCAACUUCAGCUGCCCCUACUUAUCUUCCAGCCCAUACGUUUGAAACCAAAGAUUCCACAGGAAAAGUGAGACGUUUUGAUCUCAUUGACGGUGGCGUUGCCGCUAACAAUCCGGUAUAAUUAUAUAUUUCGAUUAAUUAAUUAUUGAAAAAUUCUCCAAUGACGGAAAACUUAUAUAAUAUAUGUAUAAUUUUUCAGACUCUAGUUGCUUUGAACGAGGUAACCAAAGAAAUCAAUCGGGGAAGUUCUGACUACUAUGCAAUCAACGCAAUGGAUUACACUCGGUUUCUGGUGAUAUCGUUAGGGACUGGUGCGCCAAAAACCGAAGUGAAGUACGACGCCCUUAAAGCAGCUAAGUGGGGUGUGUUGGGUUGGUUGUCGAGUGAAAGUUCGACUCCAUUGGUGGAUGUGUUCAUGCAAUCAAGCAGCGACAUGACGGACUUUCACAUUUCCACUGCUUUUAAAGCCCUUCAUUCUGAAAACGGUUAUCUUCGCAUCCAGGAUGAUACACUAACUGGAGACGAGGCUUCGGUUGAUGUUGCCACUAAAAAGAACCUCGAGAGUCUUGUGGGAAUUGGUGAAAGGCUGCUGAAGAAACCAGUCACAAAGGUCAAUUUCGAAACUGGACUAUGUGAACCAUAUGGUCAGGGUACUAAUGAGGAGGCUCUCAUAAGGUGCGUAAUUGUCAAUCAGUUAGCAUGUAUCUCAAUGCAUGCCUGUAUACUUAUACUAAUUCAUGUUUUCUAUUUUAUUGAUUUAAUUUUGUAGACUGGCAGAAGUUCUUUCUAAGGAGAAGCGGAUUCGUGACAUGAGAUCACCGCAAGGAAAGGCUGCAAAAGCCACCACUUAAACAAUAUAAAUCGCCCAUCUCAAAGGAUUAUAUAUUUUUUUUAAUUCAUUUAAAUGUUGUUAAUUGUAGUGUUAUGUGAUAAUUGACCAAUUUGUCAAAAUAAAAUUACGGGGAAGGCUGACUUUUCACCCUGUACUAGCUAGUGAUUGUCUCUUUUAUUUUUUUUCCCCCGAUGAAAUUUGAAUGGGAUACGGUGCAUGAGACACGGAAUUGUAACUCAUAAUUCUUUGUUCCUUCAAUUGUAUUUUCAAUACAAAUAUCUAUUGUAUUGUGACUUUUCCUUUCGGUUAUUUAUUGUGAUUUUUAGAUUCUGAAAUUUUCAGAAAGGAAUGACAUUACUCCGUUGACUUUGCGAUACAUGCAUGUACACGUAUGAUUUUCAAUUUUUCAUUGUAGAUAAAGAUCGACGUCAUGAAAAAGCUUUUCUAUUCGCUUUUAAUACUUCAUUAAUGUUGCAACGACUUGGGGUUUUGGGUAUUUGUGAAAUAUUAGGAUGCUAUGCUAAAAAAUAGGGGUCAACAAAAUCGGUUGAUCAGAUUGUCGAAUAGGUAGCUAACUAUGUGCUUAUCUUAUAUAUGGUGACAAAAUAAUUAAAUUAAUAAUAUAAGCGUAUGAAGUAAUGAAAAGGUCUUAGAUGCUUUUGAAUCAUUGUUCCUUAUUUAUUCAAUACUCGCUACUUGAAUUUAUAUAUUAUUAUGAUUAAUUAAAACAUACAUAUGAUAAGGAAUGAAUGAGAAAGUAGCAUAGCGUCCAAUACAUUUCCCCUUGAAGAUUUCUUGCUCCUCCAUUAAAAAGAACAAAAAUUGGCUUUUGACACUGCGGCUGCGCCACUUGGGCUUGUAGCCCAGUGGUGAAUCAUUGCCCUCAAAGUUAAGCAUGACUAUGAGGGCAAUGGUUCGAGUCCCCACGGACUCAACCUCCCUCAAUUAAAUAUAAUUAUGUGGAGAUUUCUUACAACGUCUUUCUCCCUUGCGAAAUGCAAGUGGAGUAGAGACAUCCCUCCUCUGUGAGGGGUAUUUAGAUGAGUAUGUAAUAAUAUAAGUCUCAUGUAUAUAUCUGAUUGUAAAUAUCAGUGUAAUAACCUGCUGUCAUAUGCUUAAUCAGUUAAAAAAAAAAAAAAAAAAAAAAAAAGACACUGCGGCUGCUAAUUUGUCAUGAUCCUAUAAGAGCACAAACAAACAUUACAGAAGUAUUUGUAGGCUACCAUAUUGUAUAACAUCACAUCGCUUUUCGGGAAAGAGAUUUGAAUGAUGACUCUUAAUAAUCAUAGCCCAUAGAGUUGUUGCAAUAAUUAAGGUAGAGCCAGUCUAAGCUAUCGUAUUCGUUGAUGAUUAUUUAUAUGAAGUGUUAAUAUAUGAUAUAUUUCUUUAGACAAUUUGCAAGCAGCCCCUUUUUUUUUUACAUUAAUUUGUAUAGAAAAUUUUAUUCUUUGCAUCAAAGCUCUUUUGUAUAAAUAUUAACCAAUUGCCACUACUUAUUAUUAAAUCUCUUAUUUUUUUUUUUUUUUUUUUAAUUCUUCACUUUCGCUAAAAUUGUAAAUAAAAUUAUCUAUAAUAUUAGUUAAAAUUGUAAAUGAGUAAUACAUAAAAAAAAAAAAAUCUAUUGUUUUGUUUUUGUUUGGCAUGGGAGAAGCUACGCCCCCAGCUGGCUGGUGCAAUGGUGUGUUUGCGAGAAUUGUUGUUUUUUUUAAAACCUUAAUAAUACAUUGGUAAUUUAUUAAGAUUUGAUAGCAAAUAAUACAACAUAUUAAUUAGGACAAAUAAAAUGAGCCUCACACCACAUAGAGGCAUUGAAGAAAAGUAAUAACGCAAGAAAAUCAAAACAAAGAACCAAAAGCAAUACAGGUCAACGAAAUUAAUCUGUAAUGUAGAAAUCCAUUGGCUUCUUUAGAGAGAAUACGAGAAUUGUUUUAUUCCACUUUCGGUACACAUUUGUUCUCUGCUUCCACUGGAUGCAUUAUUGCGCCAACUACUCCUUUCAAGGUUUAAUUUGAUUCUGGAUCGAUUACCUACUCCUAGUGACAAACACAGAUCGUCAACCAAUAUGACCCAAAUUAGUAGUGAUGUCUCGGUGAAGGAUCAACCUCGUCUUCAAAAUUAUACACACACCAAAGCGGUUGUGCUUCACUUGGGGAUCAACUUUAAUUUAGUCCUGAUUUUGACCGUUUCAUGAGUCGCACAUUUUCAAGCAGUGGAAGAACUCGUAAGUUUAAACAAAAAGAAAAAUGGAACUGAUAAGGAAGAAUUAAUAUACUGUAGUUGAGGCUGAAACUCCGUGAAAGCUGCAGGUAUAUAUAGAGAGAAUUCUCAACUUCACUACUCCACCUGUGGGAUAUUCGUAUUCACCUUCCUUUUCUUGAAGAAAUAAUAAUAAUAAUGUUAUUUGUUGCAUGAAAUAAAUAAAGAAACAUAUGUAAAUUUGAUGUAGACUCCUCAACCGACCACCAGGGUCAAAUUAUGUACAAUUUACAAAUAGCCUUGUGUUUGUUAAUUAUGUGGUGAUUUUGACUCACGAGGUCUGUCCUCUCCUCAGAAAGAAGUUUUGCAAAUCUGUAAGAAGAUUGAUGAGAGAAAUAAAAAUUUAGAAAGGUGAAAAAAAAAAUAAAAUGUACGCACGCAGCUGAUGAUACAGUAACUUUGAACUAAAUAUAUAAUCCAGAAAGAUGUAUGUUAGGCGUAAUGUGCUUUUAUUCCAUACUUUUCCAGAGCCUCCGCAUUAGUUUCACCAUUUGCUACUGGUUCAGACAAAACCGUUUUCUAAGUUGACCCCAGAAACUGGUUUAUUCAACACAAUCUUACACCAAUUCGCUCGAGCUUCUCCAAGUUUUCCUUUGUUGCAAUAUCAACUGAAGCAUCCUUCCCAGAUAAGGUGCCAUCGUGAGUUAAUUUAUUUUAAACGACAACUAUUGGUCAUGCAUGCAUCUACAUAAUUAGUUUAAUUAAGAGUAAUGUUACAAAUUAAACUAGCAGCAACUUUAUAUAUAAUAAUUGAUAAGCUUGAUUACUUGAAUUCUAAGAUAGUUUUGUCCAGAAUGGAGAGCUCGGAAGACCACAGUUAACAUGGAGGUCAUUAGACCACCGGUGCUUGUCUCAGCAAUUAAUGUAGUCUGUAAGUCUAGCAUCCUCACUAGCCAGCUCCUGCGGGCCAGUUCUUACAUUAAAUUGAUGCUCUGCAUGCAUGCCAAAUUAAAGUAAGUAAUUGAAUGUGUAUAAUAAAUUAUUUCAAUUAAUUGAUUUGAUAAAAUUAAACCUGAAGCUGUUUUCCGAGGAAAGCAACAAUAGUAGCAGAUAAAGUUACAUUAUUAAAAUGUACCUUACAACAUAUAAUGUAAAUAAUGUAAGAUAACAAAUUCCCAUCUCUAAACUCUUUGCAAAUUGAAAUACUGGAUGUUGGAUUUGAUUUCUAUCGAUACUAAAGCUUUUCGAGGCAGACAUCUAAUUAUUUUUCUGGCAUCAACAACACUUCCAAGCUAAAGACAGUGAUACAAUUGUCACUUCUUUUCCAAAAUCAAGUAGUGGUACCACUUGACAAAGGGCUCUCACUUUUACCAUUACUAGCUGCUCCAGCCGUUUUGCUUUGACCUUUGCUCACUAUACUUGGAAUUUUUGCUCUAAAAAUAUAAUUGGGAGUAUUGUUUAUGUUAUGUAUAAUAUUUAUUAUACAGAACAUAUUAUUAUAAUAAUUGGGUUAGUAAGGGUAUAUUAGGGACGUUUAGAUGGAUUUCUUGAAUAAAAUUUUAAAUUUUAAAUUUUAAAUUAAGAGUGAGUUUAAUGGGUAUAGUGAGUGGCUUGAUAGAUUCAAAUAGUUCCAUUCAUUCAAAAUCCUUAUAAAAUAUUUUUUUUAAAUUUUCUUUCUUAACAUACCCUCUAUUUAAUUAAUCAAAUACAAAUUGACAUAUUAAAAUAACCUUCCAAUAAAAUUUUGAGUGGGACUAUUGACACCCUCUAAAUACCUCUUAAAACCCCUUUAAUUAUUAUAUAAUUUUAACCUUUAUUAAAAUUACAUAAUAGGAUAAUUUAUAAUUAAACUCCACUCAAAAGUUAAAUAAUUUUUUAUUUUAGAAAUUAAAAAGGUUGUUUUUUUUUUUAAUUUCAGGUGAGGAACUUACCACUAAUGGCUACAAUAAAAAAAAAAAAAAAACCCCCCCCCCCCCCUUUUAAAUGGACGAAAUCUGGUUGUUGAAAUGGGUUUUAAUAAUAAAAAUUAGAGAAUGAGAUUUACACAAUAAAUUUUACUUAAGGGUAUUUUUAUCAUUGAUAGAGGUAUUAAAAGAAUUUUAUAAUUUUUUAAAAUAUUGUAAUGGAGUUGAUUAAGAAAAGGGAUGUUAAGAGAUAUUUAGAGGGGUGCCAAUAGUCCCACUCAAAAAUUUUACCAAAGAAUAGUUCUUUAAAUUUUUAUUUAUAAAAUAUCUACAGGUCCUAAAAAUCUUAAUUUCUAUUUUCAAAACCCUAAAUUGUUAUAAUCUUUUUUAAAAAGAUUUAAUUAAAAUAUAAAUAUAAAUUAAGAGAUGAAGUGAUUAAUUUUUUUUAUAUUAAAAUAAUGCUUCAUUUAAGUGUUUAAUUCAAUUUUUAUUUAGAAUAAAAACUAAUUAAUCUUUAUUUAUUUUUAUAAUUCUAAUUUUUUUUUUAAAAGUAUUUUAUAAAAAAUUUUGGGUGGUGUAAAAACGCGUAGCCAUUGCCGUAGUUUAAUAGUCUAUGCCGCUCUUACAAGGUUCGCGUCUUCUCCCUCCUAAAAAGUUCCAUUUCAUAGACGGUCCACAGCGUCUAUCGACAUUCGUACUUGCCGUACAAAUCGCGAAAUUUCCUCCCGCCAUAGACGCCCUGUAGGCUUUAUACUUGCACGCAACACACAAGAAACAAACAACCCAACAUAAAUCAAGGACUCGGAAGAGUAUUCUUUCUUUAUCUUUUCAACAACAUAUUCAAAAUUCUUCGAAGAGAAAAAUAAAAUUAAAAAAGAAAAAAAAAACACAAUGCUCCGUCUCUGUUUGAUACGCCGCCGUUUCCACCGCUUUCCUCUCAAUCGCCACAUUUCUUCUUCUUCUUCUUCUUCUCCUACAAACGCGACCGAAUCCUCCUCUAACAAACUCAAAAAUCCCCAACAUGCCCCUCAACCUCCACCUCCAUCGCUUUCUCCACAAGUUAUCGAAAACCACCUCUCUCCUCAUUCCACAACCACCUCACUCUCCCGAAAUUCCAUAUUUGCCCUCUCCGCCACCCUCCUAUCUGCGAUCAUUGCCUCUGUCGCCAUCCUCUCCAGCGAUCGUCACGACGACAAUAAUGAUAGAAUCACGACCACUAUUUACUCAACGGUUGAGAACACAAUUUACAAGUCAAACGAGUCGUUUAGAAGAGUUGUUCACCACGUUAAGCAAACAGGCGUCGCGGCUUCGGUGCUGUGGCAGUCUCUGACUUCGGUGUUAUCCAGUGCGAACCACGAGGUGAGGGCUGGGUUUGAGUUGAGGGUUGCGUCGCUUUUGGCGGAUAUCUCGGCGGCUAAUGCGGCAAGGAGGGCGGCGAUUGUUGGUGCGGGUGGCGGGAAAGUUGUUGAUUGGUUGUUGGAGACGGUGGCAUUUGGAAACGACGGGUGUGGGACCCAAGCCGAAACGGCGAGGGCACUUGCUUACUUGAUUGCCGACCCUGAUGUCUCUAAGGACGUGUUAGGGCGGCCUCGUGCUGUCCCUAAUUUGCUGAGGUUUAUUUUUUCCUGUCAACCAAAGUCCAAGAAGGUCAGUUCGUUGCUUUGUUAAAAUUUCAGAAUCAUUAUACUAUAUUUUUAUUCAAAUUGUAUCCUUGGCUAAUAGAAAUUUAUUUUAUAGCUUAUACAUCUAUGCUAUUUGCAUUUUAAAGUUAACCAGCGCGAGAAAAAUAGCAUACUGUGAUUAAUGUGCUUGUCUUUGAUUGGGAUUGUAUUCAUUUUUAAUUUUGGUGUUAAUACUCAAAUACAGUCCUAUGAAAAUCAAUAUUGAGUGCGUGAAAGUGCUUUGUAUAUGAGACAUCUGAGUGCUUGUUUCAGCUAGAGCGAAAACAUCACUUAAUUAUUGUGUCAUUCAUUUUGCUCUGCAUUGUUUAUUAUUGACAUCGUGUGCUUGGUUAGUGAAUGUUUAAAGUCUGAUCUUGUUGAUUCUUCUGAGUUGUGUUUUACCAUUGAUAUAUAGCUUUUCUGUGGGAGCAGCAUUCAAGACGUAGUUCAUUCGAUAAUUCUGAUUCUUUGAAAGGUAGGAGCAUGCUCGUUGCUGCCAUUAUGGAUGUUGUCACAUCCAACUGUGAUAGCUUGGAAAAGGUGUGUUUUAAGCCAGCACUGCCAGGAAAUGCUGAAACAAGGGAUAUUGCCGAUGUUAUUGAGGUGAUUGAGGAAGGUGGCAUGCAUUUUGGUGAGCCGCAAAGAGAUGAAGACGAUGACGAAGGUGGAAGAGGAAUGAGGGGGAUUGGGAUUAAAAUUCUUGAAGGUACAACCGUUUUAGGGCUUUCAAGAACUAGUAGGCUUAUGAAGUUGGGGGAUACUGAUGAUGUUGGAGUAGAAUCUGAUAGACCUACUCCUAAAACCCUUGCCUUGCUCAGUAAGCAUGACAGUUCAUCAUCACGAGCCAAUUUGUCCUCUGCUGUUGUUCCUGGUCUGUGGGAUGACUUGCAUUGUCAACAUGUCGCUGUGCCUUUUGCUGCCUGGGCAUUGGCCAAUUGGGCAAUGGCAUCAGGAGCUA
rnacentral:lncRNA from 1 species